rnacentral:tRNA from 1 species
CUUCUUGUGGUGUAGUGGUAACGCGCCUAUCUAGUGAGGAGUCGUGAGUUCGAGUCUCAUCGAAAAGA